rnacentral:lncRNA from 1 species
UUGCUCUGUCACCCAGGCUGGUAGUGCAGUGGCAUGAUCUCUGCAACCUCUACCUCCCAGGUUCAAGCAAUUCUUGUGCCGCAGCCUCCCAAGUAACUGGGACUACAGGUGCACGCUACCACACCUGGCUGAUUUUUUAUGUUUUAGUAGAGACAGGGUUUCAACCAUGUUGCCCAGGUUGGUCUCAAACUCCUGAGCUCAGGCAAUCCACCCGCCUUGGCCUCCCAAAGUGCUAGGAUUACAGGUGUGAGCCACCACACCCAGCUAUUUUUUCUUUCGUUUU